rnacentral:rRNA from 1 species
UACAGAGGUCUCAAGCGUUGUUCGGAUUCAUUGGGCGUAAAGGGUGCGUAGGCGGCGCGGUAAGUCGGGUGUGAAAUCUCGGAGCUUAACUCCGAAACUGCAUUCGAUACUGCCGUGCUUGAGGACUGGAGAGGAGACUGGAAUUUACGGUGUAGCGGUGAAAUGCGUAGAUAUCAUGAGGAAGACCAGUGGCGAAGGCGGGUCUCUGGACAGUAACUGACGCUGAGGAGCGAAAGCGUGGGGAGCGAACAGG